rnacentral:rRNA from 1 species
GUGAGGAAUUUUCCGCAAUGGGCGAAAGCCUGACGGAGCAAUGCCGCGUGAAGGAUGAAGGCCUAUGGGUUGUAAACUUCUUUUCUCAGAAAAGAAUUAUGACGGUAUCUGAGGAAUAAGCAUCGGCUAACUCUGUGCCAGCAGCCGCGGUAAGACAGAGGAUGCAAGCGUUAUCCGGAAUGAUUGGGCGUAAAGCGUCUGUAGGUUGUUUAAAAAGUAUUCUGUCAAAGAUUAGGGCUUAACCCUAGAUAGGCAGAAUAAACUUUUAAGCUAGAGUUUGGUAGAGGCAGAGGGAAUUCCCGGUGGAGCGGUGAAAUGCGUAGAUAUCGGGAGGAACACCAAAGGCGAAGGCACUCUGCUGGGCCAAUACUAACACUGAGAGACGAAAGCGUGGGGAGCAAACAGGAUUAGAUACCCUUGUAGUCC